CAUCACUUAGAAAAGCGAACAGUAGUUGAAAAGAAUGUGGGUAUGGGGGUCUGAUGUGAAAUGGCUACAACAGCAGCCUCCGAGGUAGUGUGUGCAGCCUGUUGCAUGUAUGGAUUGCCCUAAGGAACUUUGGAGACAGUU
ensembl:snoRNA SNORA70 Small nucleolar RNA SNORA70